rnacentral:rRNA from 1 species
GGUGGUUUGUCGCGUUGUUCGUGAAAUCUCACGGCUUAACUGUGAGCGUGCGGGCGAUACGGGCAGACUUGAGUACUGCAGGGGAGACUGGAAUUCCUGGUGUAGCGGUGGAAUGCGCAGAUAUCAGGAGGAACACCGGUGGCGAAGGCGGGUCUCUGGGCAGUAACUGACGCUGAGGAGCGAAAGCGUGGGGAGCGAACAGGAUUAGAUACCCUGGUAGUCCACGCCGUAAACGGUGGGUACUAGAUGUGGGUUUCCUUCCUUGGGAUCCGUGCCGUAGCUAACGCAUUAAGUACCCCGCCUGGGGAGUACGGCCGCAAGGCUAAAACUCAAAGAAAUUGACGGGGGCCCGCACAAGCGGCGGAGCAUGUGGAUUAAUUCGAUGCAACGCGAAGAACCUUACCUGGGUUUGACAUGCACAGGACGCCGGCAGAGAUGUCGGUUCCCUUGUGGCCUGUGUGCAGGUGGUGCAUGGCUGUCGUCAGCUCGUGUCGUGAGAUGUUGGGUUAAGUCCCGCAACGAGCGCAACCCUUGUCUCAUGUUGCCAGCGGGUAAUGCCGGGGACUCGUGAGAGACUGCCGGGGUCAACUCGGAGGAAGGUGGGGAUGACGUCAAGUCAUCAUGCCCCUUAUGUCCAGGGCUUCACACAUGCUACAAUGGCCGGUACAAAGGGCUGCGAUGCCGCGAGGUUAAGCGAAUCCUUUUAAAGCCGGUCUCAGUUCGGAUCGGGGUCUGCAACUCGACCCCGUGAAGUCGGAGU